GACAGAGGGUGCAAACGUUGCUCGGAAUUACUGGGCGUAAAGCGCGUGUAGGCGGACUCGUAAGUCAGGCGUGAAAUCCCCGAGCUCAACUCGGGAACUGCACCUGAAACUGCGAGUCUAGAGUGAUGGAGAGGGUAGCGGAAUUCCUGGUGUAGAAGUGAAAUUCGUAGAUAUCAGGAGGAACACCGGUGGCGAAGGCGACUACCUGGACAUCAACUGACGCUGAGACGCGAAAGCGUGGGGAGCAAACAGG
rnacentral:rRNA from 1 species